UCCCACAUAUGAACUUUUUAUUGCAGAUACAGUUAAUGAGUAUGCCCUCAGACAAAGCAUGCUACUUCUUCACUGAGAGAAAAAUUGUUGUGGUGCAUGUUGGCAGACACCAACCUUCCAGUCAGUUGUAGUAAUACAAAAGUACAGGAUUGUCCAAAAUCAGUUCAGGGUGAUGUCUGCAGACAAGCAGGCUUAUCACAGAAAUAGCCAGAGAUGGGUGCUGCAGCUUCCUGCCACACCAACACACAGCUACUCUGUUGUAGGGAUGAUUAGUCACCAGAAGAGUUCAAAAACAAAGCAUCUCUAAGGAAAGGCACUUAAAAUUGUUGGUAGAGGUAUGUAUUCAGCACAUUCCCAAUGUCAUCUCACAUAGAAAGACCUCUGCUCUAUCCAUGAGAAAAGAUUCAUGGUGGAAACACUAACCUCAAGCUCCAAACACUGAGCCCUCCUUAUUUGACAUGCUGUUUGUAAAGGACAAGUAGAUGCAGUUUGCACCUUCUGGAACACACUGAGUAGGUUGAGAGAGAAAAAUGAACGGGCCAAUUUUUUAUAAACCAUGGCAUUAGAUGAUUACAUGUGGUUAAAUGAUCUGUUGCUUGGUCCACAGCAACUUAUCCAUUUGCACCUUUUUACAGCUAUCCCAAACUCAUGUUCACAACAAGAUUGUAUCAUGCUGUUCAUAUGCUACAUGCCAACACUGUACUAGAAUAUCCACAGAAUUAUGCUACACCCUUUCAUGUGUUUAGGUUAGCAUUGUUUACAUUGAAGAACUUGAUCAUUCCACAGAGAAGCAUUCUUGCAACACAUUCAUUUAUUCCAUGAAUAAGAAAUGGUAAGUAAAACAUUUUAUAGUUUGCAAGUUUCUCUUCCUAAAUAUAAUUUUUUUGAAGAACAAGUACUUUCUACUCAAAUUCGUAACACCAUGUACCAUGCUGUGAUUUCUGCAGAUGUGUAUAAUUAUAUGGACCUUCACUACCCAGAAGCUCUCCAUUUGUUUUACAUCACAACAGCAACAUGCCAACCUAGGUGUUGCUACCUGGUGGACAUGGACCACGAAUCUAACAUCUGUUUGUCAUAUAAUCUUCAUAAACCUAAUGAACUGGAAUUAGAAAAAACUCUAAUCUACUUAAUGUUCUUCCAAACAUUCAAAAUAACUAUGUAUACAUGGUAGAAUUCACUUCACUGCUGACAAGUUAAUUACCUGUAGCUGUUGGGAAAAGCUUGAAUCCUGAGCCUUAGGAUAUAAGAAAACAAUGCUACUUUGCUUUGAGGGUGCAAUUAAACUGAUGACAAGCUCCAUGAGAGCACUAGCAGAAACCAGGGUAUGUUGCUAGGCACCUGUAGGCAGGGUCCUAUCAACUUAGGCCCAGCGGCUACCACAAAUACCUUCUGCUUAAACUUCUCAAGUUUCCUUGUUUAAACAUUUUGGGGAGAACAAAAUUGCUUUUUGAGAUGACAAGAGCCUAAGCUGAAGCAUUAGCUGUACGAGCUUAAUAUUCUCCUUCAGUAAGCCAGACUGCUGAUGAAUGCCAAUAACUGGUACGGUGUAGAAGGCGUAGAAGGGAAUGAAUAUAAGUAGGGAUUUAAUCUCAGUGUUAGUAUUGGUAGUAUUGCCUCCUGGAAAAUUAACAUCUGUGUCUAAUAAAAGAUGCAACUUGCUCAUGGAAUAUGAUUUGUUUGUUUGUUUGUUUGUUUGUUUUUGUGAUAAAAUCUUGUGUUUAAUCCCCGGCAUCACCUACAUUCCUGAGGCAAAGUGAACUUUCAGGAUACCUCCUAUUUCCACAAAGAGUACAAAGCCAGGAGGAGUGACGUAUAUUACACAUACAGAUGCUCCAGAAAAAUGUGUUGUUUUCUACCCAGAAAUAAUGUCCAAAUGUCUAGAGAUGAUUCCUGACCUACUAUGAGCAAUUUUUCUCCACCACUGCACUCCAGUAGAUUCUAGCAUAAGAGCUGCCUGCAUGUGAUGUUACCUAUGCUCUGACACUGAUGCUUCUAUGCACUGGAAGUGAUGGGAAUGUACUGGAUUUAAGCAUUCCCUUUAGACUACUGGGAGCAUGUAAUGUUGAAAUGGAGUGAUAAAGCAGCAAUAGAUAGUGUUUCCAUUCUAUAGUAAUAAUCUUUUCACCUCAUAAAAUAUGAAAUGUAAAUUUAAAUACAUGCUGUUCUUCAUGGAUAGAACCCCUACUGUACAAUGCAUUUUAUUGCACAUUAAGAUAAAUACAAUAGCAAUCACUGCAUUCAUUAUUAAAUACACUGUAUUUACUGCAAAAAAGAUAAGUAGAAAAUAAUUCACAGCAAAAACAAAUUCAUAACAGAAAUUCCAUCUUAGAAAUCAUGGAAAUCACAAACAGUGAAAAGUUCUGUAGCAAAGAACAGCUUUUUUUUUUUUUUUUUUAAUUAGAUUCACUGUUCUAAUUGUCAUGGAACUCAGUGUCUUCAAAACUUUACAGGUUACCUUGCAACAUUAAAACAAGUAAGCAAACAAGCACAUAAGAACAUUUAACUCUUCUGUCCAGAAAAAAAAAAAUGAUGAUUUCUAUUUCUGUAACAUCAUAUCCCUCUCAUGGUCCUCCCUCGAGUGGACAAAGUUUUGUAAUUGCAAAGACUUUUCAGACCAGCACUUUCACUAGUUCUGCAGCUCUUCCGGUGUAAUGUUGUACAUUUGCUGUUUUUGUUCUUUGUAGUGCACUCACCACUGCUUUUGUCUUGCCAAAACCUGUCUAGGAAGAAUUGCUAAAACAGCAGCUGGGCUAAGUGGCUGAACAGAAGGGAAAAGAGGUCUCUGACUGCCUUGAAAAGUUAUCUGGUGUACAUUUCUAUCAAGUAAAUAUUGAUAAAAUUGUCCUGAUAGUAGGCAGUGGCAACACAAAAUUUUAGUAGAGUAAUGGGAAGUACCAUCAGUGAGACAUGGAUUUGGUCCAUCUGUACGUUUCUACUGAUGACUUUGAGCAUACACCCAAAAUGCUUAAAGUAGUUUUUAGAGAAAACACCUUAUUCCUGUUAAUUUUUUACAGGUUCCUUUCCAUGCCUCCAUUGUUCUUCACUUGGAAAAAUAGUUCUCAGUUAGAAACUCAUUAAUGAAAAUUCUAAAACCAUCAAAUGUCAUACCUUUACCAACCAAAAUGGUAAAACAGUACUUGGAUAGAUGCUGCUUGAUUCUGAAGUAACAGAACUAUUGUCUAUUUUUGCUCUACAGAGCUGCAGAUCUUCUAUAGUGCAGAUUUCAAGAUCAGAUUCUUGUUCCAGGUGCAGCUUGACAAGCCCUGGAAAAGAAAAGAGGUGUUGUGCAAAAGUAAUUGAAAGCAGAAACCAGUUUUUGCUCAUUAUUUAGCUAUAGCUGUCACUGUAGUAGUUUAUAGGUUUGCAUGGUGAACCUUUUCUUACAGAUACAAAACACAAGAGAUGCCAAGGGCUGUGUCUAACACACUUCCAGGCUGUGCUAAAAUGCUAUAGAUUUAUCAUGCCAGAACUGGAAUGCGUGUUGUUGUUACCUGUGAGCCAAAUGCUGAUUCAGCCCUAAUUAUAUUAAAUAAGAUACAUGAAACACACAUACAGAAAAAAAAUCUGUUCUGUUUAGACCAAUUCAGAGAUAAACCAUCUGUAGUCUUGUACCUCCAGAGACUCCAGGAAAAGCCAAUAAGGCAUUUUGCAUUGUCUUAUGUUCUUCUGCUGUCUUCUCUGGAGAAGAAAGUGAUGAAGUUCAAACCCCCUUUCCCAGCAGCAGAGACGGUAGGCAGAACAGCCUCUCUGGUUACUUCCCAUGGUAGACUGAGUACAUGUGGUAGACUCUGGUUUUUAUACUUCCAUUUUAGUUCCAGCAGCAACAUUAAUAAAGCGUGGCAGCUUGCCCUCAUUCCAGUUCAGUGGCAGCUUUAUUAUACGAUCAGCUCUGAUUUACAGUAGUCUAUUCAAUAUGAAAUUGGGAGAUAAAAUCAUACCACAACACAGAAUCUGAUAAUUUAAUUUACUGUGAUUUAGGAGCAUGAGGUUUACAGCUAAAAUACAGUAUUUGCUCAUUGCAUACUGGAAUUAUUACAGGAAAUUCUUAUUAAAAAAAAUCAUAUGUGAAAUUUACUGUGAUGGGUGUCUUUGUAAUUGUGCAUUGUCUCUGCAGCUUCGGAGAAAUCUGGCCCUUCAAACAGGAAAGAAGAGAAAAAUGUCAAAAGGAAGAAGCACUGAAUCCUCAGUAUGGAUGGAGCAAAACAUUGAGUAAUGGCUGCUGGAUCUUACCUGUUUUGUAGAAGUACUGUACACCUAGUUUCUCCUCUCUCAGCCCUGUGAUGGGUAGCAUUUUAGUUUCUGUACUCGCUGAGAAACUGAAGGCAGCUCGUAAGAAAAAUAAAGACUGAGGUCCUGAAUCACUGAGCUCAUUUUCCCAUGGAUAAAAUUAUACAGCCUUUAAAAAAAAAUCCUGAAGAGUAGGAUCUAAUCAGAAGAGUUAUUGCAGACCAUCAACUAAUUAACUCAAAACUGGCUUUAUUUUUGGCAUAGAAAUAUAUUACUAUUUAGACCUUUUGGCUAGGGAGGGAGUGCCUUUGUUGAAUUAGAACUGAGCCUCCUUAACCAGUGACCACAGAACAUCAUAUAUCAAAAUUCAGUAAGAUUUAUCACUUCAAGAACACCUAAAACAUGCCAAUAGGAAGGAAUUAAUUGAGACCUUCUUUCUCCACUAUAUAACAGAACUUACCAGAAAUUGAGCCAGCAGGAUCUCAAGUGUUCUCAAAAUGAUUAACACCAAAAGAAUGAAACCAGUAUCAGAUUUGCAUGAAAAAAGAAGUGCAAAGUACGUAGCUUACCCAAGGAUGAUUCAGAGAUAGUUCUAACAAUUAAAAUACACUUUUUAUUAUUAAGCUUCCCAGAAGACACAGCAAAUGCAGUUUAUCCAUUAUCUUUCACUCAUGUGCUCUUGUCACAUUACUGAGAGAAAUGCUGCUCCAUAGCACACCACCACCCUGCACCCUUAGUAACACUGCUCCAUCAACAUUCAGGUCUGACUGCAUUUUUUUCCAUAGCAAUGAAAACUACUGAUAUGAAGGUUGUAAUUAAACAUACAGGAAUGGGAGUGAGGGGGGGGGGGGAAGAGAGGGGCUGAACGUGUAUGCAUACAAACUGGGGAAGAAUGGAAAAGCUUGGAAAUGGAAGUCACGUUCAUGGCUCACAACUCACAUUACACAAAGGCCAGAUCAGAAAUGUAGAUUGGAGCCACAGCCUUUGGCUGUCCCCACAGAAGGAGCCGUGUACCUCUCAUUUCCCAGGCUGAACCACAGCAGCUUCUAUAUCAACACACUUCAACUGUGAUUUAG
ensembl:lncRNA